rnacentral:lncRNA from 11 species
CCUCUGCUCUGCAGAGCCCAGUGCCUUCCUCCCCAGAAGGAAGACGUCGGGCCAGCACUUCUCCAGUCUGCAAAGCACCCAGCAGCUCCCUCUGGAGAAGGAGGAUGUUAGGCAGUUUGCAGACUGAGAAGCCCAGCACCUCUCCCCCUUGGCUGCAACUUGCCUUGCAGCAGCCAAAGAGAAGGAAUCAGGCUCCAUGUGGAGCUGGCUCGGGUCCCUUUGAGCCUUUUGCCUCCCCUGUAAAGCAAGCAAUGGGAUUGGGGGGAAAGGAGCGAGGGAGUGUGGGGAGAAGCCAAGCCACUGUGACCCACUCACUGCCUUCCCAUUUUAAUAUGACUUUCUGGAGCAGCUAUCAACCACCUUGCAUCUUACUCAGCUAACCCAUGACUGACUUGGAUUGAACUGACUACACACCAACCACUUGCGUCCUUGGGCACAUUGACUUGUGUACAGGAUAAUAGACCUUCAUUGCUUGGUGGGGCUGCUAGCUGUUAGUUUGGAGUUUAGUCAAGAGAUAUGUAGUUAAACAUUGGAAGCAAUGCCUGUAAUAUGGCUUUUCAGGCCAUAAUUCCAUAUUAUGCAGAAGUUCUGUUACAAGUAAUCUUCCCUCCUCUAUUGUACUUGUUUUCUUGACCAGAAGCCCAAUAGAUUCCAGAUCAAUCUAUUUCACAUUUGCUGAGUUCAAGAUUAUAGCCUUUAAACCUGAAGUUAGGCAUGUUUAUUCAAAAGCUUGUCCAACUGAACUUUAUGAGGUUCAUGCACGGGAAUGCAUUUUUAAAAAUCCAAAUCUUAUUCAGAACUAAAUUCAAGUUUGAAUUGACCUUUUCUGACUAGAGUUCCCAGAAUCCCUGAGCAAGCACGGCCAGUGUCAUUUUGAUCUGACUAAAUCCCAGGAGGUGUUAGACACCGACUGUAGGUUUUGAGCCAAUCUAUUUGCAUUCUGAAGAAUUCACAUUUUAGACCACCAUUUUGAACUAGUGCUACAGUUCUAAAGUAUAUUGAUGAACCUAAAUAGAAAGCACCUUCCUAUUUGUUACAGAUAUUCUACCAUGUCCAUAUGCCAAUGCACAUUGUUUAUUACAUAUUCAUUUGUUGGGAAGUGUGCCUAGAGCUAGAAACUGACCUUUAUGGAGCAGGUUUAAGCAACUUUGGGAAGGGAGAU